CCUACGGGAGGCUGCAGUGGGGAAUAUUGCACAAUGGGCGCAAGCCUGAUGCAGCCAUGCCGCGUGUGUGAAGAAGGCCUUCGGGUUGUAAAGCACUUUCAGCGGGGAGGAAGGCGUUAAGGUUAAUAACCUUGGCGAUUGACGUUACCCGCAGAAGAAGCACCGGCUAACUCCGUGCCAGCAGCCGCGGUAAUACGGAGGGGGCAAGCGUUAAUCGGAAUUACUGGGCGUAAAGCGCACGCAGGCGGUCUGUCAAGUCGGAUGUGAAAUCCCCGGGCUCAACCUGGGAACUGCAUUCGAAACUGGCAGGCUAGAGUCUUGUAGAGGGGGGUAGAAUUCCAGGUGUAGCGGUGAAAUGCGUAGAGAUCUGGAGGAAUACCGGUGGCGAAGGCGGCCCCCUGGACAAAGACUGACGCUCAGGUGCGAAAGCGUGGGGAGCAAACAGGAUUAGAUACCCUAGUAGUC
rnacentral:rRNA from 1 species